rnacentral:rRNA from 1 species
GAUGGACGCUGGCGGCGUGCCUAAUACAUGCAAGUCGAGCGAACAGACGAGGAGCUUGCUCCUCUGACGUUAGCGGCGGACGGGUGAGUAACACGUGGAUAACCUACCUAUAAGACUGGGAUAACUUCGGGAAGCCGGAGCUAAUACCGGAUAAUAUAUUGAACCGCAUGGUUCAAUAGUGAAAGACGGUUUUGCUGUCACUUAUAGAUGGAUCCGCGCCGCAUUAGCUAGUUGGUAAGGUAACGGCUUACCAAGGCAACGAUGCGUAGCCGACCUGAGAGGGUGAUCGGCCACACUGGAACUGAGACACGGUCCAGACUCCUACGGGAGGCAGCAGUAGGGAAUCUUCCGCAAUGGGCGAAAGCCUGACGGAGCAACGCCGCGUGAGUGAUGAAGGUCUUCGGAUCGUAAAACUCUGUUAUUAGGGAAGAACAAAUGUGUAAGUAACUAUGCACGUCUUGACGGUACCUAAUCAGAAAGCCACGGCUAACUACGUG